rnacentral:rRNA from 1 species
GAUGAACGCUAGCAGAACGCCUAACACAUGCAAGUCGUACGGAUUUGUUGACUUCGGUUAACAAGUUAGUGGCAAACGGGCGAGUAACACGUGCUUAAUCUGCCCUGGAGAGGGGAACAACUACGGAGACGUAGCUAAAUCCCCAUACGCUCAUGGAAAUGAAAAUACCAUGAGGAAACAAUUUAUUGCUCUAGGAGGAGGGUGCGGCCUAUCAGGUAGUUGGUGAGGUAACUGCUCACCAAGCCUAUGACGGGUAACCGGUCUGAGAGGAUGUCCGGUCGCAAUGGAACUGAGACACGGUCCAUACCCCUACGGGGGGCAGCAGUAGGGAAUAUUAGUAAUGGGCGAAAGCCUGAACUAGCAACGCCGCGUGUGCGAAGAAGGCCUUCGGGUCGUAAGACACUUUUGUAGAGGAUGAGGAAGGACGGUACGUCUCAGAAUAAGUCUCGGCUAACUACGUG